rnacentral:rRNA from 1 species
CCUACGGGAGGCAGCAGUGGGGAAUUUUGCGCAAUGGGGGAAACCCUGACGCAGCAACGCCGCGUGCGGGACGACGGCCCUCGGGUUGUAAACCGCUUUCAGUGGGGACGAUGGUGACGGUACCCACAGAAGAAGCUCCGGCUAACUACGUGCCAGCAGCCGCGGUAAUACGUAGGGAGCGAGCGUUAUCCGGAUUCAUUGGGCGUAAAGCGCGCGUAGGCGGCUGCCUAAGCGGAACCUCUAAUCCCGGGGCUCAACCUCGGGCCGGGUUCCGAACUGGGCGGCUCGAGUGCGGUAGAGGCAGGCGGAAUUCCCGGUGUAGCGGUGGAAUGCGCAGAUAUCGGGAAGAACACCGAUGGCGAAGGCAGCCUGCUGGGCCGUCACUGACGCUGAGGCGCGAAAGCUGGGGGAGCGAACAGGAUUAGAUACCCCUGUAGUC